rnacentral:misc_RNA from 1 species
UCGUUUGCUCUGCUGUUAACAAGGUCUCUUUCUAUCUCUUCUUGCUGCUAAUGGUUGUUUCUUUUGUUUUCUAAUUAAUAAUAUUUAGUUGGUUCAUUUCUUUUUGGUUUCUUGGUCACAGCCUUGUGAAAUGUGUUCUUGGAGAUGGAUUAUAGACAUAGUAUACAAUUAGUGGUGUGGAAUGUGAAAGUUCAUAUAUAAUUCCAAGACGAACUUUUUUGUGUGACUUGCUUGUUUCUCAGUCUAAGUUUUGUGCGGCUGAAUUGAAUAUACAAAAGAAUGAAGGACGGGCGUGUGGGGGGAGAAGAAGAGGGAAAUGAAAGCUUUUUAUAGUGUUUGAAAUGCUGUAGACUAAAUUCAUCUUCUUGUCUUUAUUGCAGUCUUAUAUGCAUUAAUUAUCUCCAAUAUUUUACUUGUGCA